UACGGAGGAUCCGAGCGUUAUCCGGAUUUAUUGGGUUUAAAGGGUGCGCAGGCGGGAUGUUAAGUCGGCGGUGAAAUUUUGCAGCUCAACUGUAAAAGUGCCUUCGAUACUGGCUUCCUUGAGUGUGGAUGAAGUAGGCGGAAUUUGUGGUGUAGCGGUGAAAUGCUUAGAUAUCACGAGGAACUCCGAUUGCGCAGGCAGCUUACUAAACCACUACUGACGCUCAUGCACGAAGGCGUGGGGAUCAAACAGGAUUAGAUACCCGU
rnacentral:rRNA from 1 species